GACGUAGGGUGCGAGCGUUGUCCGGAUUUAUUGGGCGUAAAGAGCUCGUAGGCGGCUCGUCGCGUCGACCGUGAAAACCCGCGGCUUAACCGCGGGCUUGCGGUUGAUACGGGCGGGCUAGAGUUCGGGUAGGGGAGACUGGAAUUCCUGGUGUAGCGGUGAAAAUGCGCAGAUAUCAGGAGGAACACCGAUGGCGAAGGCAGGUCUCUGGGGCCACUACUGACGUGAGAAGCGAAAAGCAUGGGGGGAGCGAACAGG
rnacentral:rRNA from 1 species